rnacentral:rRNA from 1 species
UAAUACGUAGGAUGCAAGCGUUGUCCGGAAUUAUUGGGCGUAAAGAGUUCGUAGGCGGUUCGUUAAGUCAGAGGUUAAAGACUGGGGCUCAACCCCAGGAGUGCCUUUGAUACUGGCGGGCUUGAGGACGGCAGAGGAAAGUGGAAUUCCAAGUGUAGCGGUGAAAUGCGUAGAUAUUUGGAGGAACACCAGUGGCGAAAGCGACUUUCUGGGCCGUUACUGACGCUGAGGAACGAAAGCGUGGGGAGCAAACAGGAUUAGAUACCCUGGUAGUCCACGCCGUAAACGAUGGAUACUAGGUGUAGAGGGUAUCGACCCCCUCUGUGCCGCAGCUAACGCAAUAAGUAUCCCGCCUGGGGAGUACGGUCGCAAGGCUG